CCACCCAAUCAGGUUUCUAGAGUGCGACUCAACCCCAUGCUGACCAACCCUCCGCCUGGUGGCCUGGGUCCUCCUCCAUGAUCCCAGAUCCCAUCCCAACACAACAGCCAGACUAGGCUCCUUGGCCUGCCCUCAGGCUAUUGUCCACUAGGUUCUCUUUAUCUUAAGCUCCUCCCUCCACCUCUGUCAGCCCAAGUUCAACCAGUCUCUUUAGGGUCUGGCUCAAUGCCAGCUCCUUCAUGAGCCACCUGGAGCCCUGACAGGCUUUGCAUAUGCUGUUCCCCCUGUCUGGAACACCUCCCCCAUAUGUUUCCUCUUGUGAGUGCCUACACAUCCGUCAACAAACAGGAUCAAGGGUUACCUUAAAAUCUCAUCCAGUGAGAUAAGCAACAAAGUCACAAAAUUGAGAGUUCUAGGAGUCCAGAAUCUGGGCCACACGGGGUGAGUCUGGGGCAGCUACCUGGAGGAGUCCCUGAAGCCAUUCAAGUCAGAGCUGAGAAGCUUAUGGUGAUUACCCUUCCACCACACAUCCGUUUUCCAGAAGAGUGAAACCGUUUUCCAGAAGAGUGAAACCGAGGCCUUGAAAAGGGGUCUGAGUCUGGACCAAGCAUUCUACUGAGUUUUACUGAUAGGGUGCUUAAGGGCAUUGUCUCUGGGGACAGAAAGACCUGAAUUAAAAUCCCAGCUGCACCAGAAA